ACUGAACUGAAGAAAAGUAAAUGGUGUAUAAUUUUGAUUCUUCCAACUGAAAACCUAGCUUGAAGAUCUGUUGUGUUGAAUCAACUCUUUUGAGCUUUGUCUGUUCCUCUCCUCCAUUGUUGAUGUGCUUUGAAAUCUCUAACCUUUACCCACUUCUCAAAUUGAUUUGAUAACUUAAGUAUUCUGUCCUGUUGAUUGUUAGAUCUUGUUUGUCUUGAGUAAGUAGCAUUCUUAAGCCCGUGAUUGGCCCCAUUAAUAUGUCCCUCAAGCUCUCACCAGAGACAUGAUUAUCAACCACACUAAGAUUAUCUCUAGGCUUUACAAUUGAACUAAAUAAACAAGACUUACUUUCUCUUUAAUCAACAGGCUACUUGAGUUUAAAAAAUUAUCCAUUCUCCUUUAUUGACCCGCCCUUCAUCAUCAUCAUCGCUUCUUUCAUGAAAAAAAAAAUAUAUAAGCAAAAACACACCCAAAUAAUGAAACCCAAAAUCCACCAAUGAUUUCACCUUUAAAUCCAACUCCGAUUCUUCAAAUAUCCUUUGCGUCGUUCAAUCAGCAAAUGAGGCGUAGUCUUGAAAUUUGGAAAAUGGGCACUGUCAAUUACCUGGAGGCGCUGAAGCUGCAAGAGAAGCUGGCAUCUGAUAGAAAAGCUCUUAAAAUCACUGAUACCCUAUUAUCUCUACAACAUCCACUGACAUAUAGAGUUGGCAAAAGGGAAACAAUUCAUAAUCUACUCAUUCCUGAUUCAGAGCUCAAAGCCAUUGGGGCAGAACUUCACUAUACACAAAGAGGAGGUGACAUUACUUUUCACGGUCCUCACCAAGCGAUCUUGUAUCCCAUUGUUUCGUUGCGCCAUAUCGGUUUGGGGGCUCGAAAAUAUGUCGAGAAGCUUGAGCUAACCAUGAUUGAAUUGGCAUCUAUGUAUGGUGUGAAAGCACAGGUUGGAAAUAAAUGCGAAACUGGGGUUUGGGUUGAGGACAGAAAAAUUGGCGCAAUUGGAGUUAGAAUUUCAUCUGGGAUUACAUCUCAUGGAUUAGCAUUCAAUAUGGAUCCUGAUUUAGACUACUUUAAACAUAUUGUGCCUUGUGGGAUUGUGGAUAAAGAUGUUACAUCUUUGAGGAAAGAGGCAGAUGUAGAGCUUCCUGCUGAAGAAGUGAUACAAGAGCAGUUGAUAGCUUGUUUUGUAAGAAUAUUUGGGUACAACGAUGUCAUUUUGAAAGUGAUGAUUACAUCUUCUGAAUCACGAGGGAACUUCUCUACAUACUUUGCUGAAAGGUUAAAAAUGAAAUGGCACGAAACGGGGUUCUCUAUGAAGUAUUUCCCAUGUCAUUUCUGAUGGAACAAGCAGGAGGCCAAGCAUUUACAGGAAAGGAGCGGGCAUUGGACUUGGUGCCUACGAAGAUCCAUGAAAGGGCGCCAGUAUUCCUUGGUAGUUAUUAUGACGUGGAGGAGAUCAAAAGGCUUUAUGCUGCUGAAGAAAAAAACUAAUGGAUGCAUAGUUACCUUCUCUCACUUUACAAUUCUUGCUGAUGCUCAUUACAGCAAAUUGCUGGUUGUUUUAAGUCACAAAAUCAUCAAUUAUGGCUACAGAUGUAUCUUGCACAUUAGAUCUUUGGGAUUUACAUGAUGAAAGAUGUUCAUGAGCCAACACUAGAUGACGUCUUGCAACCUGGAAAGAAUAUGCUAGCUGCUGGAUACUGCAUGUAUGGAAGUUCUUGUACG